GAGUUUGAUCCUGGCUCAGGAUGAACGCUGGCGGCGUGCCUAAUACAUGCAAGUCGAGCGAACGGACGAGAAGCUUGCUUCUCUGAUGUUAGCGGCGGACGGGUGAGUAACACGUGGAUAACCUACCUAUAAGACUGGGAUAACUUCGGGAAACCGGAGCUAAUACCGGAUAAUAUUUUGAACCGCAUGGUUCAAAAGUGAAAGACGGUCUUGCUGUCACUUAUAGAUGGAUCCGCGCUGCAUUAGCUAGUUGGUAAGGUAACGGCUUACCAAGGCAACGAUGCAUAGCCGACCUGAGAGGGUGAUCGGCCACACUGGAACUGAGACACGGUCCAGACUCCUACGGGAGGCAGCAGUAGGGAAUCUUCCGCAAUGGGCGAAAGCCUGACGGAGCAACGCCGCGUGAGUGAUGAAGGUCUUCGGAUCGUAAAACUCUGUUAUUAGGGAAGAACAUAUGUGUAAGUAACUGUGCACAUCUUGACGGUACCUAAUCAGAAGCCACGGCUAACUACGUCG
rnacentral:rRNA from 1 species